CCGGCGUGUGACUAGCUACUGAAUCCUUGAUGUGUCAUCAGGGAUAAGGUAAAGGAAAAUAAUGAUAUUACUUUACUAUUAGUGUCGUCCAAGUACUCGUGCCAGAAGACUCGGUAAGGCGAGAGACGCAAACGUUAAUCGUCUUGAUCAGGCGUAAAGGGUUUGUAGGCUGCUUUAAGUAUCCUAAAAUAAGUUUACUAUUAUAAAAUUAAGCAUACUUAAUAAUUUAUAUCCUAAGUUUAUUUUAUAUAAAUAAAUAUGGAAUACUUGUAAAUUAUUAAUUAAUUUUAUAUUUUAUUAUACGGGUCAAUUAAAGCUAGAAUCUAAUAGAGGAUAAAACAAUACUUAAGGUAGGAGUACUAACCGUAAAUAUUAAGCAGAGUUUUAAUGGCGAAGGCAUUUAUCCACUAAAGAUUGACGCUGAGAAACGAAGGUGAGGGCAGAAAAAAGGAUUAGAGACCCUUGUAUUCCUCACUGUCAACGAUGAAUGGUAGUCAAUAGUUAGAAAUUAAUUAUAGGCGAUGUAAACACGUAAACCAUUCCGCCUUGUGAGUACAACUGCAAAGUUGAAAACAAAAAAAUUAGUCGGUUUCGGAGCAAACGAAGUGAAGCAUGUUAUUUAAUG
rnacentral:rRNA from 1 species